rnacentral:lncRNA from 1 species
CUCCACGGCUGGGGCGUCCGUGAAUACCCUCGCCGUGUCUACGACGCCGUCCUCUUCAGCACCGAAGUGGAGCUUCUCACCAUACGGUGGCAAGAACUCUACCCUUACGUUACUCAGUUCGUUCUCCUCGAGUCGAACUCGACCUUCACCGGGCUACCAAAACCGCUUGUCUUCGCGAGCCACAGGGCUGAUGAUGAGUUCAAGUUCGUCGAGCCGCGGUUGACGUACGGGUCGAUAGGAGGAAGGUUCAAGAAAGGAGAUAAGAAUCCUUUCUACGAAGAGGCUUACCAGAGAGUAGCGUUGGAUCAGCUUCUAAGACUGGCGGGCAUCACGGAUGAUGACUUGUUGAUUAUGUCUGAUGUUGAUGAGAUCCCGAGCCGACACACCAUAAACCUUCUCCGUUGGUGCGAUGACAUACCGGAGAUCCUCCACUUAAGACUGAAGAACUAUCUCUACUCUUUUGAGUUCCCGGUCGACGACAAGAGCUGGAGAGCGUCGGUUCAUAGAUAUAAGACUGGUAAAACAAAGUACGUGCAUUACAGGCAUUCAGAUGAGAUCUUGGCGGAUUCAGGGUGGCAUUGUAGCUUCUGUUUCAGACGGAUCAGUGAGUUUGUGUUCAAAAUGAAAGCUUAUAGUCACUAUGAUAGAGUGAGGUUUGGACAUUACCUGAACCCUAAAAGAGUUCAGAGAGUUAUAUGCAAUGGAGAUGAUCUGUUCGACAUGAUUCCUGAAGAGUACACGUUUAAAGACAUCAUCGGUAAGAUGGGUCCGAUUCCACAUUCUUUUUCGGCUGUUCAUCUUCCGGCACAUCUCCUGGAGAAUGCGGAGAGGUACAAGUUUCUUCUUCCGGGGAAUUGCUUGAGAGACAAGGAAUGAAUGGUUCUUGAAACUAAUAUUUUGAUAUGAAACUGCUUACUAAUUCAUGAUUAUUAAUAUUCUUUGUGUGAAUUAUUUUUUAGAAUGGCGAUUUUUAUUGGUGCUUUUGGUGUACAUAAACAACUGAUUUAUGAGUAUAAUUUAUUCUUUUGUGGACUUUUGUAACACAAGUUUGUCAUUCGGCAAAACUUGAAGAUGGUGAGUGUGGAAUAAUCCACGUUAUAGCAAAAUAGAAAAAUGAACACUAACCACACCGGCCAGUGGCACAUCUCUAUAUCAAAAGAGGAACAUUCCUAUAAAUUAACCUUGCACUCAUAUGUUAUUAACCAAAAUGUCGUUUUCUACGUGUUUUCUACGUGUCAUCACAAGAGUUUUUUUCACAUCAUUUAACUAAAAGUCUUUUUUUUAACUAGAAUAAUUACAUGCAUUGCCAUUGUUAUAAACCUAAUUUAUUAGAAAUUUGUAAUCAUUAGUUGCUUCAACAAUAAUUUAUCAUGGUUAUGUUUGUAUAUUAAACUUAGAACAUGUUUACAAUAUCCAUAUAAGCCGCCUUGAUAUAAACUUGUAUAGUUAUAUAUUUUUAUAAAUAUAUACAAAAUAAUUAUAUUAUAUAGUUGAUAUAGUCAUACCAUAUAGCAAAAAAAUAAUUAUAUAAUAGUUAUAUAAAUAUAUAUGCAAAACAUUAAUAUUAUAUAGUUGAUAUGAUCGUAUUGUCUAUAAAAAUAAUUAUAUUAUGUAUAUAAAUAUAUACAAAAUAAUUAUAUUAUAUAAUUGAUAUGGUCGUACUGUAAAUCAUAAGAGUUCUUUAUAUUAAUUUAAAUUAAAGGUUGGCCCAAUCAUAUAUGUAUAUGGUAUAUUAGAUCUUCGCGUAUAUAACCUUGGAAAACUGUUGGUCAUUUGGUAAUAUUUCAUACCCAAUUUUCAUAAAUACAUUUUGCCUAAAUUAUAGUGAUUAAUUUAUGAGCAAUAAUGAGACGUAAAUUAGCAUUGCCAUAUAUGGAUUUUUAAUUUGAACAUCCUUUAAUUUUGUAUAUUCGUUAAGGAAUAUAUAUGACACAUUGAAUACUAAUUAUUAAUUAAGAAUGAGGCAUGAUACCACUGUAUCUUUAUCAUAACUAAAUUAUGUACAUUAGAACCUCUAUAAAUUAAUUUACAAAAGUUUUCUUAUUUAGAUUUUUUUAUUUUAUGAUAUAUUUAUUCUAAGAUAAGAAAAAUAUUUGAUUUUAGUGUAUAGACAUUAAUUGUUGUUUUUUGAAAUUUGACAUUUAUAUUAAUUUUAUUAUAUUAUUUGGUGUAUAUAAUAUAUAUUAUAUAGAACUUAAAUGUGGUUUUAAAUAUAAUAUUACUAAAUUUCAUCAAAAAUAUAUUAAGUGUUAAGAAAAUAUAAAGAUAAUUCCAUUGUUAAUAUAAAACAAACAAUAUAAUAAUAGGUUCUUACUUAUAUAAAAUAUGUAUACAUAUAAAUUAUUAAUUUAUAAUUUUAAUGGGACCAUAUAUUUACAUAGAAUUUGAUUUUCUAAAAAAAUAUUAUCUUAUUAUUUUAUCGAUUUGUGUCAAAUUUUGAAUCUGCCUAAAUUGGGACCGAAAUUUUUUAUUAAUUUAUAGAAAUUAUUAAUUUAUCGAGUAUUAAUUUAUAGAGAUUCUACUGUACAUGCAUUAUAAUUUUUAAAAUUUCUUAUACUGUAUUGUAAAAUUAAAUUAUAUCACACAUAUUUAUUAUCAUACAACAUAAAUAUUUUCAUACAUUAUCUCAUCAUGCACAAGUCAUUAUCAAAUCUUUACAUUUUUUAUCAGAUUAUACUAUAUUAUUUUUAAUGUUGACAAAAAAUACUAUAUUCUUUUUAAAAGAGUUGUGGUCGAUUCAUUAUUUAAACGAGUUGCAUCGAUUGAAUCAUUGUGUCCUUAACUUUAUUAAAUCUUUAAAUUAGUUUUCUUUCCAUUACUGAAUUUGCGUGAUCCGUGUCUGUAUGUAAAGUAAGUUGAAGAACAAAAUCUUUUUAUUUACAGCAAAUUACGUGAUCAAUAUGGUUAUGGUCUGUUAAGGUAAUUUGGGCGAUAAUCUUGGAGAGCAAGUUUUGGUUAAUGAAUUCGUGAAUGGUUUCAAAACGAUUUGGGUAUAAAAUGAUUUGGGGAGAGGGGUUUUAAAGCUCGUUCAAUCGAUAUGUUCUCUGUUUCGUUGCUCGUUGCUUCCGUUUGAGUAGCUCGUUGAUUUCUUUAAGUUGUAAUUCGUUUAAUUAUUUGAAUUCGUUGAAUUAAUAUUUGGUUUUUGCUGAUGAUUAUACGCGUUGUACUGGGGUUUUGGUUGAAUUCGUUUCGCUAACUAAUUUGUUUUUAAGCUCGUUCAAUCUUCUUUUAACUUUCUCUUAUUAUAUCUCGUUGAAUUCGUUUUGUGAUGAUGAUUAUUGUUGUUUAACUAUGUUCUUACAUAAUUUCUUUCAGGUUAACGAAAAUGGGACAAGAUUACAGCUACAGUCAGCCCUCUUCAUCAUCAGAGUCUCUAGACAUAACCUCCCUUCUUGAAGCCGAAUGUCAGAUUUACGGGGAUAAAGCUGACAGCAUUCGGGAUGAUGUUCACGAUACCCAGGCACAUCAUCGAUUGAAAUAUGAUUUAAUAGAAAAUAUUUGGAACAAAUUUGGUGAUUCAUAAUCAUGUUGUAUCUUUAUAUUUUAUCAUCUUAUAAACCGUCGUGUUGUUUCUUUAUAUUUAAUCAUCUUUAUAUUUAAUCAUCUUUUUAUUUAAUCAUGUUAUAAGUAAAUAUUUUAUAUUUUACUUUCUAAAAUAAUAAAAUACAUUUAAUAUUUUUUUAUUCAUAAGGACUCCAAACUGAGACUCACCAUUGGACUAAACUUUUGGAUUAGGAUCUUCAACUAUUCAAAAAAAUAAAAUAAAUAAAUAAUAGUUUUAUAAGGCCAACGACUCCGCGGUGAAUCUCACCAUCGCGGGUGCUCUAAUACCCAUAAAGUGGACUCCGAUAUGAUCCUCCAGAUAAUUUUCAGAAAACAAACUUUUUUUUUUGAGCCAACAAAUUUUCAGACAACAAACUUUGUUCACUUCAGUAUUUGUGUUAUAUUAGGCGUGCUUUGGUUGCAUCGCUUCCUAGGAGGACAAGUUUGGUAUGAACACUUGCAUGUUAUGUCACCAAUAUUCAAAAGUGGUGUUUGUGUCGGAAGCUAAAGACUUGGUGAAAAAAUUAAAAGGCCCAUGUGACAAAUUUUAUUAUAUAAAGAAAUUGUUGACAGUACUUCAAUAUUUCUGAGUUCAAGUUUAAUAAAAUUAUUUGUACUAUUACAGUGGAAGCCACGUGUUUGUGGAAGAGAAAGAGUAAUAAACACAAGUGAUUCCGUUGGCUUUUUCAACCAAAAAGACAAAGACGAAAGCUGUAAGUCGGUGGGACUGAGUCAAGCCGCAACGCGUGGAGAUGAUAAUACUCAAAAACACAAACCGAACGUUGAUACUUUCUUUCAUUGACUAAGUUGCCCUUUUAGCCGCACUUCUCGAGGCUAAAAGGCAAAGGCAUCAUCACCCGAAACUCAGAAAGCAUCUCAAUCUAUUACUAUUAUAUUUCCAUUAUAGAGCUCCGAGAAACAUACACGACAUAUAAUCACAGCAAAAAGCUCUGUUUCUUGGUUCCUUAAUUCUUUAAUUCUUUUUUAGUUUGUAUUCUUUCUUUACUUCUUUUACUUUAUUUUCUCUGGUAGAUUAUCUACCGUAGAUAUCUAUCAUCGAGCUGUGUUUUAUUUUGUAUCAUCUCUUUUCGAAUUUAUUUAUAUCUCUUUUAACUCCGGAGAUCGAGUUCUUGAUCGGUGUUAAAAAGGAAGUCCAAGAAGAUGUGGUGGAUGAUGAGUGAAAACGGUGGUCACUAUUGCUCUAAGAAGUCCGAUGAUCUAUGCGGCACACAGGUCUUCCUUCCUUCCUCUUCUUCUCUUUAUCGCUUUAAUCGUUUCUUUAAAUUGAAGUUCUUGAAACAAGAUCUUGUUUAGUCAAUGGUUCUUGAUUUGGUAAACGGAGACUUUCUUGAUAUCUAAACUAUAGAUCUUAUGGUUCUGAUCUGAGUAAUAUAAUUUUCUUAAAUUAGAUUGAUCUAAUUGUUUGAAUUGGUUUUUGUUUAUUCAAGACAUGAGUGGAUCAGCUAUUGACUUUUUUUUUCCCUUGUGUCUAAACAGGAAUCAGAUCGAGGCUUUGGCAUCACCAGACUAUGUUGCAUGUUGCGUGGUAUAGACUUAAAGUCAAUCAUAUUCCUCUUAGUAAUCGUUCCACUAUGUGUCAUGGGUGUAUACAUUCACGGCCUCAAGAUCUCAUACUUCUUGAGACCAUUAUGGGAAUCACCACCAAAACCAUUCCACGAAAUUCCUCACUACCACCAUGAGAACGCUUCCAUGGAAUCUCUCUGUAAGCUCCACGGCUGGGGCGUCCGUGAAUACCCUCGCCGUGUCUACGACGCCGUCCUCUUCAGCACCGAAGUGGAGCUUCUCACCAUACGGUGGCAAGAACUCUACCCUUACGUUACUCAGUUCGUUCUCCUCGAGUCGAACUCGACCUUCACCGGGCUACCAAAACCGCUUGUCUUCGCGAGCCACAGGGCUGAUGAUGAGUUCAAGUUCGUCGAGCCGCGGUUGACGUACGGGUCGAUAGGAGGAAGGUUCAAGAAAGGAGAUAAGAAUCCUUUCUACGAAGAGGCUUACC